GGGGGCGAAAUGGGUUCGACGGAGGCAAUGAGAUAGAGGCUGCAUGCCGAGGUCCCACCAACCUCGUUAAACAGGUGGACCAAAAGAAGUGCAGAAACUCUGCCUGUUGCUGCCUAAUUGAAGGCAGGCCGUCUCUCUUGGGUUUUCCUGCGGCCCUUGAGAGGCGUCGGUGAGCAGGAUAGCAACUCGGGUUGGCCUUGAGCCCGGGAAGCGAAAUUAGAUCAAGGCUAGCGGCAGAGUGCCCUUCCUCUUCGGGAGCUUGGCCGCGAAGGUUAAAGAAGAGGAUAAGCAUGUAGAGGCCUCGAGUCGAAGGCCUUCGGACGCGGGUUCGAUUCCCGCCGCCUCCAA
rnacentral:tmRNA from 1 species